GGAGAGGUGCCAGAGAGGCUUAACGGCACUGCUUGGAAAGCAGCUGGCUUCAUGUAAAUGAGGCACCAGGGUUCGAAUCCCUGUCUCUCCUCCA
rnacentral:tRNA from 1 species